UUUCGACCUACAUCAACGGCGAAACAGUACUUACAAGAAAGUAUUUGUCUUCAAAAAGUUGAUUUAUUCACAAGUGUAACAUACUCAAAUAAUCACCAACUUCUUCAGUUUCAAAUUAUCUGUCAUAUUUUUCUUUUACAUGCUUCUUAAAAAAUAUUAAUUUUGAGGUUUUUUAAAAGUAUAUUGCCUUCAUUUAUUGUUAGGAUAUCCGGGCCACACAAUAAUGUUGCUUAUCCGGACGACCCAACUAAUAAUAAGACCCGGCCCAAAUAGUUUUCACACACAUUUAUUACUUCUCAUUUGCUUGUAAUAUUGUUGUUGUAAAUAUAAAUAUUGCAGAAGACUCUAGAACAAAGACAAGAAGAUAUUUUCCACAUUUUCAAUUUCGUUGUUUCUCUCUCUAGUUCGGUUAUCAUCUUCUUUAUCUUGUUCGAUUUCGGAUGAUUUUAUUGAUUAACAUGGUAUCAAAGUAGGUGUUUAACUCGAUUUCAUCUUCUCUUUCGAUCGGUAUUACCCUCCAAUCAUUUCCUCUCCUCUAUCGUUGAUUUUUUUGAGGAUUUGAGUUGAAAUUUUCAUUUCACAUCGCUGGAAUUUCACUUCGCUAGAGUUUCUUUUGGCGGUUGUAUACAAUGAUGGAUUAGUUGGACUAUUUUCUUUAUGUUGUUGUGGUGGUUGUAUUUUUUGCGGAGAACCAGUAAUAGUGUGAUUUGUGCCGCUCUCGAGGGGAAUUUGACAUACACUUGUUGUAUUUGUUGCGGCGAAUUAAUAUUCUUGCGAUUUGUGUCGUUCUCGAGGGGAAUUUGACGGAUCCCAUUGUUGAGCAAGACCUAGUCUUCUUCAGGUUUUGGAAGCAGAACGUGCAAAUCAGUUAGCAGAUAUUUUAACCAAAUCUCUGCCUGGACCUGCUCACCGCUGCUGCCUUCCCAUGCUUGGAGUCUUCACACCCUCCAGCUUGAUGGGGGUGUUAGGAUAUCCGGGCCACACAAUAAUGUUGCUUAUUCGGACGACCCAACUAAUAAUAAGACUUGGCCCAAAUAGUUUUCAUACACAUUUAUUACUUCUCAUUUACUUGUAAUAUUGUUUUGUAAAUAUAAAUACUGCAGAAGACUCUAGAACAAAGACAAGAAGAUAUUUUCCACAUUUUCAACUUCA